rnacentral:rRNA from 1 species
AUACGGAGGGUGCAAGCGUUAAUCGGAAUUACUGGGCAUAAAGCGUACGUAGGCGGUUAUUUAAGUCAGAUGUGAAAGCCCCGGGCUUAACUUGGGAACUGCAUUUGAAACUGGGUAACUAGAGUUUAGUAGAGGGGAGUGGAAUUUCAGGUGUAGCGGUGAAAUGCGUAGAGAUCUGAAGGAACACCAGUGGCGAAGGCGACUCCCUGGACUAAAACUGACGCUGAGGUACGAAAGCGUGGGUAGCAAACAGGAUUAGAAACCCUAGUAGUCC